rnacentral:rRNA from 1 species
GAAAGCGUGGGGAGCGAACAGGAUUAGAUACCCUGGUAGUCCACGCCGUAAACGAUGAGUGYUAAGUGUUAGAGGGUUUCCGCCCUUUAGUGCUGCAGCAAACCCAUUAASCAYUCCGCCUGGGGAGUMCGGUCGCAAGACUGAAACUCAAAGGAAUUGMCGGGGGCCCGCACAASCGGUGGAGCAUGUGGUUUAAUUCGAAGCAACGCGAAGAACCUUACCAGGUCUUGACAUCYUCUGACAACCCUAGAGAUAGGGCUUCCCCUUCGGGGGCAGAGUGACAGGUGGUGCAUGGUKGUCGUCAGCUCGUGUCGUGAGAUGUUGGGUUAAGUCCCGCAACGAGCGCAACCCUUGWUCUUAGUUGCCASCAUUCAGUUGGSCACUYUAAGGUGACUGCCGGUGRCAAACCGGAGGAAGGUGGGGAKGACGUCAAAUCAUCAUGCCCCUUAUGACYUGGGCUACMCACGUGYUMCAAUGGGCAGAACAAAGGGCAGCRAAGCCGCGAGGYUAAGCCAAUCCCMCAAAUCUGUUMUCAGUUCGGAUCSCAKUCUGCAACUMGANUGCGUGAACCUGGARYCGM